rnacentral:rRNA from 1 species
UACGAAGGGGGCGAGCGUUGUUCGGAAUCACUGGGCGUAAAGGGCGCGUAGGCGGCCCUCCUUGUCGCGUGUGAAAGCCCCGGGCUCAACCUGGGAACGGCGCGCGAGACGGGGGGGCUGGAGUUCGGGAGAGGAGCGUGGAAUUCCCAGUGUAGAGGUGAAAUUCGUAGAUAUUGGGAAGAACACCCGUGGCGAAAGCGGCUCUCUGGAACGGUACUGACGCUGAGACGCGAAAGCGUGGGGAGCGAACAGG